UGAUUAUUGGAGUAUAAAAAAUCUCUGAGAAGACAUUAAACAUGGUCUGUUUGAUUCCUCUACACAGUUAUGUAGCAUUUCUAAUUAAAAAGUAGAAUGAUUAUGUUUCAUGUCGUGCCAGAUUGCCUCAAAGCAGUUAGACUAAAGCCAAGAAGCAACAAGACAGGGUAAGGUCGAAGAAGAUCGGAUGAAGAUUGAGUCUCUCUUUGACUCUGAUCCUGAAUUGGGGGAUUCAUAUACUGGUCGUUUGGAUCUUGGUCCAAAGUGGGAGGAGGCAUGAACUGCCCAUCCCCAUUCUGAUUCUGAGGUGGGGGAGUCAUUGAAUCCUCGUUUGGUCCGGGUGGGGGCGGAGUUGGUGGAGCCAUAGGUUGACCAUAUUGAUUUUGAGUCGGAGGAGCCAGAGGUUGACCAUACUGAUUUUGAGUCGGUGGAGCCAUAGGUUGACCGUACUGAUACUGAGGUGCAGGAGCCAU